rnacentral:rRNA from 1 species
UGAGGAAUAUUGGUCAAUGGUCGGCAGACUGAACCAGCCAAGUCGCGUGAGGGAAGACGGCCCUACGGGUUGUAAACCUCUUUUGUCGGAGAGUAAAGUACGCUACGUGUAGCGUAUUGCAAGUAUCCGAAGAAAAAGCAUCGGCUAACUCCGUGCCAGCAGCCGCGGUAAUACGGAGGAUGCGAGCGUUAUCCGGAUUUAUUGGGUUUAAAGGGUGCGUAGGCGGGCUGGUAAGUCAGCGGUAAAAAUGCGGUGCUCAACGCCGUAGUGCCGUUGAAACUGCCGGUCUUGAGUGAGCGAGAAGUAUGCGGAAUGCGUGGUGUAGCGGUGAAAUGCAUAGAUAUCACGCAGAACUCCGAUUGCGAAGGCAGCAUACCGGCGCUCAACUGACGCUGAGGCACGAAAGCGUGGGGAUCAAACAGGAUUAGAUACC